AUGGGGUUUGCUGUUCUGCACCCCAGCACUAUUUGUCUCUUGUCACUUCCCACCACAUCCCCUUCUCCCGUCCCAUCUUUGCAUGACCUGACACUGAUGACAUUGCCACAUCGUAUGAUGCAGGGGCAAACUCACAUCAUGUGGAUGGCAUGCUGUGGGCAAGCCUCACUUUUACAGAUAAGACCUGACACGCUUUCCAAAUUGGCAUCACCUUCUGUGCUGGCUGCAUCUCAUCCUUGGCACGGAUCAAACAUAAGGCUGUAUGCUUACAAGUUUCAGCUGUCUGAAGGAGACAGUCCAGGAUAUUAAUGAACAUACUUCUGCCAUGGAAGGCAAGGAGAACUGAGUUGUGGGAUGGAUAAACACGUUGCCAAUUGCCACACAGGAAGCCCUCAAGAGAACUGGAGGAAGCUCAGAUUUGCUGAAUGUGAUAUUGAAUUCAAAGAAUUCAAAGAAUUCAAAGAAUUCAUCUGAAUGGCUGAACUAACACAGUGUCUUAGGAUCUCCAGCAGAUCACACACUACCUGAGCUCUCAGGAGCACGAACUACUCUGUCAGGAAAUAUAAACCUCUUUUUAUGUGUGAAGUGAAACCUGUGAGGUGUAACAUCUCCUACAGCUCUGGGGGAACUCCUGACUGUGGAUACGGUCCUCUGCUUUCCUGGAGCAGGUCUAGAGCAUCACCCUCCCUUCAGCUGAGUGAUACAAGGGGUCACCACCACCUCUGAGAUUUCCCUGACCCAAUUUGUAAAGCUGACUCUGAAAGUAAACAUGCACCACAGCUGUACCGCUGCCUUUUUGUCAUCUCAUGCUAUAAGCAGCAGCAAAGCACGGGGUUCAGAAUACUGUGUACAGAAUAUCCAAUAUAGAGGUGAAUCAAAGCAGUCAUGGUGGGUUUUUUGAUUAUGUUUUUGGUUGUUUUUUGGAAGUCUUAAUUCUUGCAUUCACAUGAUCAUGGGACCGUAUUUGAUUUAAUUGGUGAGAGACCCUGAAAUCUUGUAUAGAGAGAAGUGUAUAUAUGUAAAAGUGUAUUUUAUAUAUGCAUAAAAAUGUAUUUAUGUUUAUAUAAAAAUGUAUAUAUGAUAUGUCUAUACAUGUGUCCUACCACACCAAGAAAGAACAAGAUUUUCUAGUGAGCCCUUUCAAGGGCUUUCAAGGGCUCUUUUAGUGUUUAACAGUUUUGGAAGAAAGUUGGGACUCUCUAGCGCAGUUGGAAGGUGCAGUUGGAAGGGUCUGAACAGCCACAUACACUGCUUUCUUGUCCUGCAAAAUCUUUCUUCAGAGGCAGUGACAUAACUUGAACAGAGAGGGUUGAAGUUUUUUCCAUACUUGAAAUGCUAGUAAAGGAAAAUUCUUCAUAUCUUGAAAAAACAUCUUAAUAUCUUGAAUUAAAAAAAAAACACGUGGGAUGAAUCUUCUAAGGAUGGAAGGAUUUGAAUGUAAUUUUCUCCUAUUCCGAAAGACUUCCCUACUCUGUAAGCACUGAGGGAAGCAGUAGGUGCUGCUGCAUUCUUGGUGGAGACAGAUGACCUCAAUGUUUGCAUCACCUUUUGUGAUUGUAAAUUGCCUCAUCAGCAUCUAAAUUAGCUUAAUAAACCUUGACUCCUAAUUUACA
ensembl:lncRNA